CCCUUAGAUGUUCUGGGCAGCACGCGCGCUACAAUGGUCUUCGCAAACGGAUGCAUUCUCGAAGGAGAAUGCCAAUCUUGGAAUCUAUGCCUUGGUCGGGACAGUUGCUUGCAAUUUUUCGACUCGAACCAGGAAUUCCUUGUAAUCGUGAUUCAUCACAUCACGAUAAAUACGUCCCUGCCCUUUGUACACACCGCCCGUCGCUCCUACCGAUCGAAGAGUUAGGUGAAUUGUUUUGAUCGAUAAGAUUUGACUAUGGUCAACUCUCGUUGUGAAAUUCUGUGAAUCUGACUGUUUAGAGGAAGGAAAAGUCGUAACA
rnacentral:rRNA from 1 species